rnacentral:rRNA from 1 species
GGGUGCGGCAGGCCUACACAUGACGAGCUCGCACGGUAGCACAGAGAGCUUGCUCUCGGGUGACGAGUGGCGGACGGGUGAGUAAUGUCUGGGAAACUGCCUGAUGGAGGGGGAUAACUACUGGAAACGGUAGCUAAUACCGCAUAACGUCGCAAGACCAAAGAGGGGGACCUUCGGGCCUCUUGCCAUCAGAUGUGCCCAGAUGGGAUUAGCUAGUAGGCGGGGUAAUGGCCCACCUAGGCGACGAUCCCUAGCUGGUCUGAGAGGAUGACCAGCCACACUGGAACUGAGACACGGUCCAGACUCCUACGGGAGGCAGCAGUGGGGAAUAUUGCACAAUGGGCGCAAGCCUGAUGCAGCCAUGCCGCGUGUGUGAAGAAGGCCUUCGGGUUGUAAAGCACUUUCAGCGGGGAGGAAGGCGGUACGGUUAAUAACCGUGCCGAUUGACGUUACCCGCAGAAGAAGCACCGGCUAACUCCGUGCCAGCAGCCGCGGUAAUACGGAGGGUGCAAGCGUUAAUCGGAAUUACUGGGCGUAAAGCGCACGCAGGCGGUCUGUCAAGUCGGAUGUGAAAUCCCCGGGCUCAACCUGGGAACUGCAUUCGAAACUGGCAGGCUGGAGUCUCGUAGAGGGAGGUAGAAUUCCAGGUGUAGCGGUGAAAUGCGUAGAGAUCUGGAGGAAUACCGGUGGCGAAGGCGGCCUCCUGGACGAAGACUGACGCUCAGGUGCGAAAGCGUGGGGAGCAAACAGGAUUAGAUACCCUGGUAGUCCACGCCGUAAACGAUGUCGAUUUGGAGGUUGUGCCCUUGAGGCGUGGCUUCCGGAGCUAACGCGUUAAAUCGACCGCCUGGGGAGUACGGCCGCAAGGUUAAAACUCAAAUGAAUUGACGGGGGCCCGCACAAGCGGUGGAGCAUGUGGUUUAAUUCGAUGCAACGCGAAGAACCUUACCUGGUCUUGACAUCCACAGAACCUUGCAGAGAUGCCUGGGUGCCUUCAGGAAACUGUGAGAAAAGUGCUGCAUGCCUGUCGUCAGCUCGUGUUGUGAAUGUUGGAUUAGUUCCCGCACGACGCAUCUAUCCUUGGUGCAAGCGAUUAAGCCCG